rnacentral:rRNA from 1 species
UCCAGAGGGUGCGAUCGUUAAUCGGAAUUACUGGGCGUAAAGCGCACGUAGGCGGCUUGGUAUGUCGGGUGUGAAAUCCCCGGGCUCAACCUGGGAACUGCAUCCGAAACUGCCUUGCUAGAGUAUGGGAGAGGGAAGUGGAAUUUCCGGUGUAGCAGUGAAAUGCGUAGAUAUCGGAAGGAACACCAGUGGCGAAGGCGACUUCCUGGACCAAUACUGACGCUCAGGUGCGAAAGCGUGGGGAGCAAACAGG